CUAGUAUAUUCACUCUUGUAAAGAGGAAUUUAACUUUUAUUUCAAAGUUUUUUCAUUUCAAUAGUGUCUCAAUUGAAUUCUUGCCUAUGAAGGAUCUUCAAAACUAAGUAUCUCUUAUGUGCAGGAAGAAUAAUGAUGGAAUUUUAUAGAGGCCUGAUCGUGCACACCUAAGUUCUCAUCAUCUUUUACGUUUGGUUUCAAAAACUCAAGGUCAUGUGUUUCUUUAUUUCAAUAUUAGAAAUUGCGGCUUCAGCUACGACAUAUUUUUGCGAAAUAUUUUACUGAUUAUUUAAAAUUACAAAAGAGAAGGCAUAAAGAUGAAACUAGCGAGGACUGGCCGUCGAUACGUUUCUGCACGUAAUCCAUUGUUGAACCUCGGUAAUAUUUGACUUCUUCACGACUUGAAAAACACAAUCCAUUAUGGACUUUUUCUCAAACGUAAGUCUCAUUUCAUCUUUCAUGCCUUCUCUAAUGGAAAUUAGGAGGACAACCAGGAUGAUCAUACCACAACCUCUGCUUUGGUGGUUCUUGGUGGCAAUCCAGUCUCAUGGAGCACAACGAAGCAAAAAAGUAUUGCGCAUUCUUCUACUAAGGCCGAGUAUAGGAUGGUUGCGGUGGCUGCCUCAGAAAUUCGUGGCUUCAUUCUCUUCUUUAAGAACUACGUGUUGAACUCACUCAAGUUCCACUUUUUUUUUUUUUUUUUCAACUACAUUGGUGCCACCAACCUUUGUGCUAAUCAAGUGUUCCAUUCCAAAAUGAAGCAUAUCGAACACUACUUCCAUUUUGUUCAAGACUACAUUGUGAAAGGUGAACUUCGAGUUUCUCAUGUCCCUAGCAAAUAUCAACUUGCUGUGAUGCCUUAAUGAAGCCAACGUCUCUCCACUUCUUUUGUUUCUUCAUUCCAAGAUUGGUGUCACUAAUUGUGAACACCAUCUUGAGGGGCGUGUUAGCUAAUGAUCGUGUACUUUUCUUAGUUAUAUCUUAUUUUAUGCUUCUUGCAAUUUUCUGUCUUAUAUGUGCU
rnacentral:lncRNA from 1 species